GGUGCUGCAUGGCUGUCGUCAGCUCGUGUCGUGAGAUGUUGGGUUAAGUCCCGCAACGAGCGCAACCCUCAUCCUUAGUUACCAUCAGGUAAUGCUGGGGACUUUAAGGAAACUGCCAGUGAUAAACUGGAGGAAGGUGGGGAUGAUGCCAAGUCAUCAUGGCCCUUAUGGAGUGGGCUACACACGUGCUACAAUGGUGGCUACAAUGGGCUGCAAAGUCGCGAGGCUAAGCUAAUCCCUUAAAAGCCAUCUCAGUUCGGAUUGUACUCUGCAACUCGAGUGCAUGAAGUUGGAAUCGCUAGUAAUCGUGGAUCAGCACGCCACGGUGAAUACGUUCCCGGGUCUUGUACACAC
rnacentral:rRNA from 1 species